rnacentral:rRNA from 1 species
UUGAACGCUGGCGGCAGGCCUAACACAUGCAAGUCGAACGGUAACAGGAAGCAGCUUGCUGCUUUGCUGACGAGUGGCGGACGGGUGAGUAAUGUCUGGGAAACUGCCCGAUGGAGGGGGAUAACUACUGGAAACGGUAGCUAAUACCGCAUAACGUCGCAAGACCAAAGAGGGGGACCUUAGGGCCUCUUGCCAUCGGAUGUGCCCAGAUGGGAUUAGCUAGUAGGUGGGGUAACGGCUCACCUAGGCGACGAUCCCUAGCUGGUCUGAGAGGAUGACCAGCCACACUGGAACUGAGACACGGUCCAGACUCCUACGGGAGGCAGCAGUGGGGAAUAUUGCACAAUGGGCGCAAGCCUGAUGCAGCCAUGCCGCGUGUAUGAAGAAGGCCUUCGGGUUGUAAAGUACUUUCAGCGGGGAGGAAGGGAGUAAAGUUAAUACCUUUGCUCAUUGACGUUACCCGCAGAAGAAGCACCGGCUAACUCCGUGCCAGCAGCCGCGGUAAUACGGAGGGUGCAAGCGUUAAUCGGAAUUACUGGGCGUAAAGCGCACGCAGGCGGUUUGUUAAGUCAGAUGUGAAAUCCCCGGGCUCAACCUGGGAACUGCAUCUGAUACUGGCAAGCUUGAGUCUCGUAGAGGGGGGUAGAAUUCCAGGUGUAGCGGUGAAAUGCGUAGAUAUUAGGAGGAACACCGGUGGCGAAGGCGGCUUACUGGACGAUUACUGACGCUGAGGCUCGAAAGCGUGGGGAGCAAACAGGAUUAGAUACCCUGGUAGUCCACGCCGUAAACGAUGUCGACUUGGAGGUUGUGCCCUUGAGGCGUGGCUUCCGGAGCUAACGCGUUAAGUCGACCGCCUGGGGAGUACGGCCGCAAGGUUAAAACUCAAAUGAAUUGACGGGGGCCCGCACAAGCGGUGGAGCAUGUGGUUUAAUUCGAUGCAACGCGAAGAACCUUACCUGGUCUUGACAUCCACGGAAGUUUUCAGAGAUGAGAAUGUGCCUUCGGGAACCGUGAGACAGGUGCUGCAUGGCUGUCGUCAGCUCGUGUUGUGAAAUGUUGGGUUAAGUCCCGCAACGAGCGCAACCCUUAUCCUUUGUUGCCAGCGGUCCGGCCGGGAACUCAAAGGAGACUGCCAGUGAUAAACUGGAGGAAGGUGGGGAUGACGUCAAGUCAUCAUGGCCCUUACGACCAGGGCUACACACGUGCUACAAUGGCGCAUACAAAGAGAAGCGACCUCGCGAGAGCAAGCGGACCUCAUAAAGUGCGUCGUAGUCCGGAUUGGAGUCUGCAACUCGACUCCAUGAAGUCGGAAUCGCUAGUAAUCGUGGAUCAGAAUGCCACGGUGAAUACGUUCCCGGGCCUUGUACACACCGCCCGUCACACCAUGGGAGUGGGUUGCAAAAGAAGUAGGUAGCUUAACCUUCGGGAGGGCGCUUACCACUUUGUGAUUCAUGACUGGGGU